CCUUACUUUGCCCACUUACUGCCCACUCAUGCUUCUGUCUCAGUCCCUCCCUAGGGGAAAUUUUUCCUGACCUUUGUAACUAAAGCAAAGCCUUCUCCUGGGUGCUCUCUUGUUCCAGAGACCUGCCUGCACAGCACUUGUACCAGUUAAACCUUUACAUUAACUAGAGUGAAGAUAUGUUAGUGUCCACUGCUGCCUCGCAGGAAUAAAGCCAGAAAAGAUGAAGAAGAUGAGACUCAGAGCAAUACAUAAGUUGCCCAAGGUCAGAGAGCAAUGACCAUAUCAGAGCACGGUGUACAUCUCUUGCAGUAUUCAGAAUAUUUCUCUAUGGGCAGCAACAUUUUUCUCUCCUUAUCUGGAUAUUAGGAAGAAUAUCACAGGACCGGCUUACAGCGCCAGUCACAUCUGACCAUAUCAGAGCACAGUGUACUCCUCUUGCCGUAUUCAGAGGAUUUGCCUAUGGGCAGCAACAUUAUUCUCUCGUUCUCUGGAUAUUAGGAACAAUAUCACAGGACCGGCGGACAGCCCCAGUCAUAUCGUGAGUAAUGUCAUCUGUAAUCCCUUAGUUAUUAGAAAAAAUAUCACGGGGGUCUUGUGUGCUUUAUCAGAUACUUGGAGUAAUAUCUUUUCCGUUUUUGGAUAUUAGACACGAUACUACAGUGGUGGUGUACACUUCCUGCGAUAUUCAGGGUAUAAUAAUCUUUUGUCCCCAGGAUAUUAGGUAGUACAUUAAAGAAGCCUUGUACUUUGCCUGUGAUAUUGGAACAAUCACAGAGUGAACACUUGCUUUCAAAAUGAGAGUAAUACCUACUUAAAAUAUGAUGGAUAAUAUCAAAAAAUGGACACACAUGGGUGUAUACCCACUUUGAUAUAGAAAGAAAUUUUUAUCUAAUAUACUAAAAAUCAUAUAUCACAAUAUACUCAUAAUGUGUACACUUAUUGAGAUGUUACAAUCAAUGUGCAGAAUACAUA
rnacentral:lncRNA from 1 species